rnacentral:rRNA from 1 species
GACGAACGCUGGCGGCGUGCCUAAUACAUGCAAGUCGAACGCUUCUUUCCUCCCGAGUGCUUGCACUCAAUUGGAAAGAGGAGUGGCGGACGGGUGAGUAACACGUGGGUAACCUACCCAUCAGAGGGGGAUAACACUUGGAAACAGGUGCUAAUACCGCAUAACAGUUUAUGCCGCAUGGCAUAAGAGUGAAAGGCGCUUUCGGGUGUCGCUGAUGGAUGGACCCGCGGUGCAUUAGCUAGUUGGUGAGGUAACGGCUCACCAAGGCCACGAUGCAUAGCCGACUUGAGAGGGUGAUCGGCCACACUGGGACUGAGACACGGCCCAGACUCCUACGGGAGGCAGCAGUAGGGAAUCUUCGGCAAUGGACGAAAGUCUGACCGAGCAACGCCGCGUGAGUGAAGAAGGUUUUCGGAUCGUAAAACUCUGUUGUUAGAGAAGAACAAGGACGUUAGUAACUGAACGUCCCCUGACGGUAUCUAACCAGAAAGCCACGGCUAACUACGUG